AUACUUCCCUAGUAGGGGAGAUCCUAUGAUCGUGGGGUGGUUUUCCUAGGGCAAGGCUUAUCCUUUGUGCUCUGGGUGUGCUGACCCUGGUGAUUUCUCCAAUGGUGGGAAACUCAACUGCAUAAUUUGUUGAAGUGAAGGGACUGCAUUUGUGCUCUCUCCUG